rnacentral:lncRNA from 1 species
AGGGAUAAGGAAUUGAGUAGUUCAGACUCCCUUUGAAAACUGUAGAAAACCUUUCUGUCAGAUCUUUCUUUUUUCUUCAUAUUCUCAUUUUCGCCCUCCCCACCCCAGCUUUGAAGCAUACAUAAUAGGUGUUGGUUUAUUUUUUCCUCAUGGAAUCAUGGGUAGUUUCAUUGCAGCUCAUCUCUUUCUGUUUGUUUCGUAUAGGGCUGAUAGUUCAGGACCAUUCAGACCCCAUGUUCAGUUCAUAUGCCUAUAAGUCCCACUACCUACUGAAUGAAUCAAAUCGUGCUGAGUUGAUGAAAUUACCUAUGAUUCCUUCUUCGUCAGCUUCCAAAAAGAAAUGUGAGAAAGGUGGAAGAUUGCUCUGCUGUGAAUCGUGCCCAGCUUCCUUCCACCCGGAAUGCCUAAGCAUAGAAAUGCCAGAAGGCUGCUGGAAUUGUAAUGACUGUAAAGCUGGCAAGAAACUACAUUACAAGCAGAUUGUUUGGGUCAAAUUGGGAAAUUACAG